rnacentral:misc_RNA from 2 species
ACACCCUCAAGCCUAGCUUGGUGUUGGGCGUCUGUCCCGCCGUUCUCGCGCGCGGACUCGCCUCAAAGUCAUUGGCGGCGGUCGUGCCGGCCCCCUCGCGCAGCACAUUUGCGCUUCUCGGAGGCCCGGCGGAUCCGCGCUCCAGCAAGACCUUUCACG